rnacentral:rRNA from 1 species
UACGGAGGGGGCUAGCGUUGUUCGGAAUUACUGGGCGUAAAGCGCACGUAGGCGGCUUUGUAAGUUAGAGGUGAAAGCCCGGGGCUCAACUCCGGAAUUGCCUUUAAGACUGCAUCGCUUGAACGUCGGAGAGGUGGAGUGGAAUUCCGAGUGUAGAGGUGAAAUUCGUAGAUAUUCGGAAGAACACCAGUGGCGAAGGCGGCUCACUGGACGACUGUUGACGCUGAGGUGCGAAAGCGUGGGGAGCAAACAGG